rnacentral:tRNA from 1 species
UUUAACUUAGUGAAAUUCCAUCACGUCGGACUUUCAAGCCGAAAACACUAAUCUUAGUAGUUAAUU